CCUACGGGUGGCAGCAGUGAGGAAUAUUGGUCAAUGGGCGAGAGCCUGAACCAGCCAAGCCGCGUGAAGGAUGAAGGCCCUACGGGUUGUAACCUUCUUUUGUCAGGGCGCAGUUGAGUCCACGUGUGGGCUUAGCGAGAGCACCUGACGAAGAAGCAUCGGCUAACUCCGUGCCAGCAGCCGCGGUCAUACGGAGGAUGCGAGGGUUAUCCGGAUUUAUUGGGUUAAAGGGGUGCGUGGAGGGAAUGUCAAGUCAGCGGGAAAAAUUCGGGGCUCAACCCCGUAGUGCCGUUGAAACUGGGUGUCUUGAGUGGGCGAGAGGUAGGCGGAAUGCGUGGUGUAGCGGUGAAAUGCAUAGAUAUCACGCAGAACACCGAUUGCGAAGGCAGCAUACCGGCGCCCAACUGACGCUGAGGCACGAAAGCGUGGGUAUCGAACAGGAUUAGAUACCCUAGUAGUC
rnacentral:rRNA from 1 species